rnacentral:tRNA from 1 species
AUCUAGAUAGUUUAUUUAAAAUAUUAACUUGUGGAGUUAAUGAAGCAUGAAUUUGCCCUAGAUA